rnacentral:tRNA from 1 species
UGGAAUAUAGUGUAAAGGUAGCACAAAGAAUUUUGAAUUCUUUAGAUUAGGUUCAACCCCUAUUUUUCUAG